rnacentral:tRNA from 1 species
GGCGCGGUGGCGGAACUGGCAGACGCAGAGGACUUAAAAUCCUCCGGUGGCAACACCUUGUGGGUUCGAUCCCCACCCGCGCUA